rnacentral:lncRNA from 1 species
GGGUGCAUUAAUGUGAAAUAUUUGCAAGUUCAUUAUUCUCAUAUAAUUAUUGUAAAGUCCGUGCAAUUGAAUGCCAACACUGACAUUUGGUUAAUUUAACCAUCCAGCCCUCUUAUAUUGGACUUGAAAUUAGAUAGAAAAUGAUUAGAAAAAUGAAAAAUUGUAUGAUAAAGAAUAGGCCAAAUAACAAAGAUAUGUGAUCACGCAUAAAAGUACACGAAAACUUUUCUUGCAAACAAGUAGCUAAAGUUCUCCAUUACAUUUUAUCAAAAUAUAGACAAACUUACUAUCUGAA